rnacentral:tRNA from 1 species
CAACCCACCAAAUUUUUGCUCGGUUAGUAUAAUGGGAGAACCCCGCCUUUACACGGCGGUUGUGAUAGUUCGAUUCUA